ACAUAAUGUACGUAUGACCAUGGUUCGCGAAAAUUACGUUCCAAUAGGUGGAUCUAUUAUUUUGGUUGCUGUGUUGUGAAAUUAACGGACGGAGAAGACAUGUAUUAAUACAGAACAGAACUUACAAACUCGCUGUUCGGUUUAAAGCUCCUGUAGUAUGUUGACCCGUUAGUUACAUUAUGCGAAGAGUAUAAACGCGGUAAUACGAAAAUAAUAACCCUUACAGAUUGCAUAUACAUGAAUAUCGGCACCAAAAGUAUAGGACUUGAUGAUUAUUGUGAAUACAGCAUAAUACAUUUGUGUUUACCUACGUUAUUGUAGCUGUAAAGAAGGCAAACAGGAGGCGACCAACAUUCAAAUACAAGUAAUUGAGUGUUCACAGAUUAGUGCAUAGAAAAAAAAAACAACAAUAUGGAGAUCUAAUGCGGCGGCCAAUGCAAGUGAGGAACGUAUAAUAAUACGAGGACGUACGUCGUACAUCUGUCGAAACAGCCUAACUAAUUUCUUUUAGACCACCGAAAAACAAAAUUUAAACAGAGUUUAGAGUGUUAUAUUCAUUCCACAUUCAGUUCACAUUGUUAUCAGAAUGGCAUUGAUAUAAGACAAUUACAAAAUCAUUGCUUACUUAUUGAUGGUGGUUAUGAUCAUUCCUCAUCACAAUCCAGCCAUGUAUCCAGGAUCCAGUUUAUUCAACAUAAUUGAUAUUUUGGGAAACAUUAAAUCUAAAAUAUUUAUUUAUUAUAUUAUGUACAAGG